rnacentral:rRNA from 1 species
UUAAGUGACUAAGCGUACAUGGUGGAUGCCUUGGCAGUCAGAGGCGAUGAAGGACGUACUAACCUGCGAUAAGCCGUGAGCAGUCGGUAAGAGACAUUACGACUCACGGAUUUCCGAAUGGGGAAACCCACUUAGCAUAAGCUAGGUAUCGCUACGUGAAUACAUAGCGUAGCGAGGCGAACCGGGAGAACUGAAACAUCUAAGUACCCCGAGGAAAAGAAAUCAACCGAGAUUCCCUCAGUAGCGGCGAGCGAACGGGGAUUAGCCCUUAAGCAUCUUGGAAGUUAGUGGAACGGUCCUGGAAAGGCCGGCGAUACAGGGUGAUAGCCCCGUACACGAAAACAACCUUGAUGUGAAAUCGAGUAGGGCGGGACACGUGACAUCCUGUCUGAAUAUGGGGGGACCAUCCUCCAAGGCUAAAUACUCCUGACUGACCGAUAGUGAACCAGUACCGUGAGGGAAAGGCGAAAAGAACCCCUGUGAGGGGAGUGAAAUAGAACCUGAAACCGUGUACGUACAAGCAGUGGGAGCCCUUCGGGGUGACUGCGUACCUUUUGUAUAAUGGGUCAGCGACUUACAUUUUGUAGCGAGGUUAACCGUAUAGGGGAGCCGUAGGGAAACCGAGUCUUAACUGGGCGUCUAGUUGCAAGGUGUAGACCCGAAACCGGGUGAUCUAGCCAUGGGCAGGUUGAAGGUUGAGUAACAUCAACUGGAGGACCGAACCCACUAACGUUGCAAAGUUAGGGGAUGACCUGUGGCUGGGGGUGAAAGGCCAAUCAAACUCGGAGAUAGCUGGUUCUCCCCGAAAGCUAUUUAGGUAGCGCCUCGGACGAAUACUACUGGGGGUAGAGCACUGUUUGGGCUAGGGGGUCAUCCCGACUUACCAACCCCAUGCAAACUCCGAAUACCAGUAAGUAAUAUCCGGGAGACACACGGCGGGUGCUAACGUCCGUCGUGAAGAGGGAAACAACCCAGACCGCCGGCUAAGGUCCCAAAGUUCUGGUUAAGUGGGAAACGAUGUGGGAAGGCUCAGACAGCUAGGAUGUUGGCUUAGAAGCAGCCAUCAUUUAAAGAAAGCGUAAUAGCUCACUAGUCGAGUCGGCCUGCGCGGAAGAUGUAACGGGGCUCAAACCAGGCACCGAAGCCGCGGAUUCACGCUAAGCGUGAGUGGUAGGGGAGCGUUCUGUAAGUCUGCGAAGGUGUAUCGAGAGGUAUGCUGGAGAUAUCAGAAGUGCGAAUGCUGACGUAAGUAACGAUAAAGGGGGUGAAAAGCCUCCUCGCCGGAAGACCAAGGGUUCCUGUCCAACGUUAAUCGGGGCAGGGUGAGUCGACCCCUAAGGCGAGGCCGAAAGGCGUAGUCGAUGGGAAGCAGGUUAAUAUUCCUGCACGACUUGUAAUUGCGAUGGGGGACGGAGAAGGCUAGGUGGGCCAGGCGACGGUUGUCCUGGUGAAAGUGCGUAGGUGGUGUUUCUAGGCAAAUCCGGAGACACAACACUGAGAUACGAGACGAACACACUACGGUGUGGAAGCCAUUGAUGCCCUGCUUCCAGGAAAAGCCUCUAAGCUUCAGAUUACAAGUCAUCGUACCCCAAACCGACACAGGUGGUCGGGUAGAGAAUACCAAGGCGCUUGAGAGAACUCGGGUGAAGGAACUAGGCAAAAUAGAACCGUAACUUCGGGAGAAGGUUCGCUCUUGACAGUGAAGUCCCUUGCGGAUGGAGCAGUUGGGAGUCGCAGUGACCAGAUGGCUGGGACUGUUUAUCAAAAACACAGCACUCUGCAAACACGAAAGUGGACGUAUAGGGUGUGACACCUGCCCGGUGCCGGAAGGUUAAUUGAUGGGGUUAGCGCAAGCGAAGCUCUUGAUCGAAGCCCCGGUAAACGGCGGCCGUAACUAUAACGGUCCUAAGGUAGCGAAAUUCCUUGUCGGGUAAGUUCCGACCUGCACGAAUGGUGUAACCAUGGCCAUGCUGUCUCCACCCGAGACUCAGUGAAAUCGAAUUCGCCGUGAAGAUGCGGUGUACCCGCGGCUAGACGGAAAGACCCCGUGAACCUUUACUACAGCUUGGCACUGAACAUUGAACCUACAUGUGUAGGAUAGGUGGGAGGCUUUGAAGGCGUGACGCCAGUUGCGCUGGAGCCGUCCUUGAAAUACCACCCUUGUAUGUUUGAUGUUCUAACGCAGGCCCGUGAAUCCGGGUCGCGGACAGUGCCUGGUGGGUAGUUUGACUGGGGCGGUCUCCUCCCAAAGAGUAACGGAGGAGCACGAAGGUUGGCUAAUCCUGGUCGGACAUCAGGAGGUUAGUGCAAUGGCAUAAGCCAGCUUAACUGCGAGACGGACAGGUCGAGCAGGUACGAAAGUAGGUCAUAGUGAUCCGGUGGUUCUGAAUGGAAGGGCCAUCGCUCAACGGAUAAAAGGUACUCCGGGGAUAACAGGCUGAUACCGCCCAAGAGUUCAUAUCGACGGCGGUGUUUGGCACCUCGAUGUCGGCUCAUCACAUCCUGGGGCUGAAGUCGGUCCCAAGGGUAUGGCUGUUCGCCAUUUAAAGUGGUACGCGAGCUGGGUUCAGAACGUCGUGAGACAGUUCGGUCCCUAUCUGCCGUGGGCGUUGGAUGAUUGAAGGGAGUUGCUCCUAGUACGAGAGGACCGGAGUGAACGAACCUCUGGUGUUCGGGUUGUCACGCCAGUGGCACUGCCCGGUAGCUAAGUUCGGAAUCGAUAACCGCUGAAAGCAUCUAAGCGGGAAGCGAGCCCUGAGAUGAGUCAUCCCUGACCCCUUGAGGGUCCUAAAGGGCCGUUGGAGACCACAACGUUGAUAGGUGGGGUGUGUAAGCGCGGCGACGUGUUGAGCUAACCCAUACUAAUUACCCGUGAGGCUUAACC